rnacentral:rRNA from 1 species
GAUGAACGCUAGCUACAGGCUUCACACAUGCAAGUCGAGGGACCGGCGCACGGGUGAGUAACACGUAUCCAACCUGCCCUUUACUCGGGGAUAGCCUUUCGAAAGCAAGAUUAAUACUCGAUGUAAAGGAUGGUGAUGCGUUCCAUUCGGUUGUUGGUGUGGUCACGGCCGACCAAGCCUUCGUUGGAUAGGGGUUCUGCGCGGAAGGUCCCCCACAUUGUAACUGAGACACGGUCCAAACGCCUACGGGAGGCAGCAUUGUGGAAUAUUGGUUAAUGGGCGGUAGCCUGAACCAGCCACGUAGCGUGAAGGAUGAAUGCUUAGGGGUCGUAAACUUCUUUUAUAUAAGAAUAUGUAUUAUAUGAGUAAGGAUCGGCUAACUCCGUGCCAGCAGCCGCGGUAAUAC